ACUGCGGCACCUCUGUUCUAAUUAUGCUAUAAUGUUCAUUUCCAUAUUUUUGUUUUGUUUUUUUAAAUCUUAAAUGACAGUAUCAACUCAGCUGACGUACAUCGUUCAAAACAAAAUAACUCAAAGAAAAUAGAAAAUAAACACAACUGCGUAUUUAUCUUUUCGCAAAAUAUAAUCUUAAAAUUGUGCUCGUAACAAAUUAUGAAACAAUGGAAAAAUGUCCUUGCAAAACGUAUUAGCCAUCAGCUCUCUAAUGUCACUGGGAAUGGCCAGCCUAGCGACGGUAAUCCAUUUUUUCCAACGUGAAGCAAACUACACGGAGUACGAAUACUUGCAGCAACAGGAAGAUCCGGAAAGUUUUCGACCCAACUACAAUCGCGUCACCUGGAAUGGACCAAUAGGAGAAGAUAGAAAUUUUUGCGCGAUUUGCAGAGCUUGUAUAAAAUACAACAAUAAACGCAAAACUUUGGAGUGCCAACACAGCUUCCACGAAAAAUGCAUCAACCAAUGGCUUAUUGUGAAACGGACUUGCCCCAUCUGUCGAAUGGUACUGGCUAACCCAAGCUAGCAGUUACUUUUCUACUAGGAACGAUUCAUAUGUACUUAGACGGGAAAUCAUCUUUUAUUUUUAUCCAAAUGAACCAAAUGAGAAACAUGUUUGACCUGAGAUUAUGGCUUUUUAUGUACAAAGUAAGACAAUUGAAAUUAUUAUAUGAAUGGUAAGGUUUUAGGCUUUUUAAUAAACAUUGAUGUAUUCUAUAUUUUUAA